rnacentral:rRNA from 1 species
AGUGAACGCUGGCGGUAGGCCUAACACAUGCAAGUCGAACGGCAGCACAGAGGAGCUUGCUCCUUGGGUGGCGAGUGGCGGACGGGUGAGGAAUACAUCGGAAGCUACUCUGUCGUGGGGGAUAACGUAGGGAAACUUACGCUAAUACCGCAUACGACCUACGGUUGAAAGCAGGGGACCUUCGGGCCUUGCGCGAUGGAAUGAGCCGAUGUCGGAUUAGCCAGUUGGCGGGGUAAAGGCCCACCAAGGCGACGAUCCGUAGCUGGUCUGAGAGGAUGAUCCGCCACACUGGAACUGAGACACGGUCCAGACUCCUACGGGAGGCAGCAGUGGGGAAUAUUGGACAAUGGGCGCAAGCCUGAUCCAGCCAUACCGCGUGGGUGAAGAAGGCCUUCGGGUUGUAAAGCCCUUUUGUUGGGAAAGAAAUCCAGCUGGCUAAUACCCGGUUGGGAUGACGGUACCCAAAGAAUAAGCACCGGCUAACUUCGUGCCAGCCGCCGCGGUAA